AUUGAACGCUGGCGGCAGGCCUAACACAUGCAAGUCGAGCGGAUGAAGGGAGCUUGCUCCUGGAUUCAGCGGCGGACGGGUGAGUAAUGCCUAGGAAUCUGCCUGGUAGUGGGUGAUAACGUCCGGAAACGGGCGCUAAUACCGCAUACGUCCUGAGGGAGAAAGUGGGGGAUCUUCGGACCUUACGCUAUCAGAUGAGCCUAGGUCGGAUUAGCUAGUUGGUGGGGUAAAGGCCUACCAAGGCGACGAUCCGUAACUGGUCUGAGAGGAUGAUCAGUCACGCUGGAACUGAGACACGGUCCAGACUCCUACGGGAGGCAGCAGUGGGGAAUAUUGGACAAUGGGCGAAAGCCUGAUCCAGCCAUGCCGCGUGUGUGAAGAAGGUCUUCGGAUUGUAAAGCACUUUAAGUUGGGAGGAAGGGCAGUAAGCUAAUACCUUGCUGUUUUGACGGUACCAACAGAAUAAGCACCGGCUAACUUCGUG
rnacentral:rRNA from 1 species